GGCGUUAAGUUGCAGGGUAUAGACCCGAAACCCGGUGAUCUAGCCAUGGGCAGGUUGAAGGUUGGGUAACACUAACUGGAGGACCGAACCGACUAAUGUUGAAAAAUUAGCGGAUGACUUGUGGCUGGGGGUGAAAGGCCAAUCAAACCGGGAGAUAGCUGGUUCUCCCCGAAAGCUAUUUAGGUAGCGCCUCGUGAAUUCAUCUCCGGGGGUAGAGCACUGUUUCGGCAAGGGGGUCAUCCCGACUUACCAACCCGAUGCAAACUGCGAAUACCGGAGAAUGUUAUCACGGGAGACACACGGCGGGUGCUAACGUCCGUCGUGAAGAGGGAAACAACCCAGACCGCCAGCUAAGGUCCCAAAGUCAUGGUUAAGUGGGAAACGAUGUGGGAAGGCCCAGACAGCCAGGAUGUUGGCUUAGAAGCAGCCAUCAUUUAAAGAAAGCGUAAUAGCUCACUGGUCGAGUCGGCCUGCGCGGAAGAUGUAACGGGGCUAAACCAUGCACCGAAGCUGCGGCAGCGACGCUGAUGCGUUGUUGGGUAGGGGAGCGUUCUGUAAGCCUGUGAAGGUGUGCUGUGAGGCAUGCUGGAGGUAUCAGAAGUGCGAAUGCUGACAUAAGUAACGAUAAAGCGGGUGAAAAGCCCGCUCGCCGGAAGACCAAGGGUUCCUGUCCAACGUUAAUCGGGGCAGGGUGAGUCGACCCCUAAGGCGAGGCCGAAAGGCGUAGUCGAUGGGAAACAGGUUAAUAUUCCUGUACUUGGUGUUACUGCGAAGGGGGGACGGAGAAGGCUAUGUUGGCCGGGCGACGGUUGUCCCGGUUUAAGCGUGUAGGCUGGUUUUCCAGGCAAAUCCGGAAAAUCAAGGCUGAGGCGUGAUGACGAGGCACUACGGUGCUGAAGCAACAAAUGCCCUGCUUCCAGGAAAAGCCUCUAAGCAUCAGGUAACAUCAAAUCGUACCCCAAACCGACACAGGUGGUCAGGUAGAGAAUACCAAGGCGCUUGAGAGAACUCGGGUGAAGGAACUAGGCAAAAUGGUGCCGUAACUUCGGGAGAAGGCACGCUGAUAUGUAGGUGAAGUCCCUCGCGGAUGGAGCUGAAAUCAGUCGAAGAUACCAGCUGGCUGCAACUGUUUAUUAAAAACACAGCACUGUGCAAACACGAAAGUGGACGUAUACGGUGUGACGCCUGCCCGGUGCCGGAAGGUUAAUUGAUGGGGUUAGCCGCAAGGCGAAGCUCUUGAUCGAAGCCCCGGUAAACGGCGGCCGUAACUAUAACGGUCCUAAGGUAGCGAAAUUCCUUGUCGGGUAAGUUCCGACCUGCACGAAUGGCGUAAUGAUGGCCAGGCUGUCUCCACCCGAGACUCAGUGAAAUUGAACUCGCUGUGAAGAUGCAGUGUACCCGCGGCAAGACGGAAAGACCCCGUGAACCUUUACUAUAGCUUGACACUGAACAUUGAGCCUUGAUGUGUAGGAUAGGUGGGAGGCUUUGAAGUGUGGACGCCAGUCUGCAUGGAGCCGACCUUGAAAUACCACCCUUUAAUGUUUGAUGUUCUAACGUUGACCCGUAAUCCGGGUUGCGGACAGUGUCUGGUGGGUAGUUUGACUGGGGCGGUCUCCUCCUAAAGAGUAACGGAGGAGCACGAAGGUUGGCUAAUCCUGGUCGGACAUCAGGAGGUUAGUGCAAUGGCAUAAGCCAGCUUGACUGCGAGCGUGACGGCGCGAGCAGGUGCGAAAGCAGGUCAUAGUGAUCCGGUGGUUCUGAAUGGAAGGGCCAUCGCUCAACGGAUAAAAGGUACUCCGGGGAUAACAGGCUGAUACCGCCCAAGAGUUCAUAUCGACGGCGGUGUUUGGCACCUCGAUGUCGGCUCAUCACAUCCUGGGGCUGAAGUAGGUCCCAAGGGUAUGGCUGUUCGCCAUUUAAAGUGGUACGCGAGCUGGGUUUAGAACGUCGUGAGACAGUUCGGUCCCUAUCUGCCGUGGGCGCUGGAGAACUGAGGGGGGCUGCUCCUAGUACGAGAGGACCGGAGUGGACGCAUCACUGGUGUUCGGGUUGUCAUGCCAAUGGCACUGCCCGGUAGCUAAAUGCGGAAGAGAUAAGUGCUGAAAGCAUCUAAGCACGAAACUUGCC
rnacentral:rRNA from 1 species